GGUCUUAAUGUAUACGAGUUUUUGAACGUAAAGGAGCAAUAAUUAAUUUAUUGUUCUAUCAAGAGGGUUAAUAUUGCUCCUUUACUUUUACUUUUUAGUAGUUUCAUACAUCAAUUUUGUAUUUACUUCAACAUUCUUUACCAUUGUUUUAAGAUAAAAAAAAUAUUGGAGUUUCUUACUUUUUGUUUAUUUUUUACUAAUUUAUUUUAUACGUUUUUCUCAACAAUCUUUCUUUAUCUUUUGAAAUGAAAAAUAAAAAAAAAUAAGAAAUGAAUGUUUUAAUUCUAGUCUAUUGUAUCUUAGAAGACGAGUAAAAACUUCAAAAUAAUGAAAAAAAAAAAAAAAAAAUACAAAUGGAAAUUUCUGUAAUUUUUAAAUAGUAAAGGGGCGGAUGUCGGCAAGUGGAUCAAGGG
rnacentral:misc_RNA from 1 species